rnacentral:rRNA from 1 species
GGCUCAGAUUGAACGCUGCGGCAUGCCUUACACAUGCAAGUCGAGCGGCAGCGCGGGGGCAACCCUGGCGGCGAGCGGCGAACGGGUGAGUAAUGCAUCGGAACGUGUCCUCUUGUGGGGGAUAACCAGUCGAAAGACUGGCUAAUACCGCAUGAGAUCGAGAGAUGAAAGCAGGGGACCCGCAAGGGCCUUGCGCGAGAGGAGCGGCCGAUGCCCGAUUAGCUAGUUGGUGGGGUAAUAGCCCACCAAGGCGACGAUCGGUAGCUGGUAUGAGAGUACGACCAGCCACACUGGAACUGAGACACGGUCCAGACUCCUACGGGAGGCAGCAGUGGGGAAUAUUGGACAAUGGGGGCAACCCUGAUCCAGCGACGCCGCGUGUGUGAAGAAGGCCUGCGGGUUGUAAAGCACUUUUAGUGGGGAUGAAAAGCUCGGGGAUAACACCUCCGGGUCUUGACCUAACCCACAGAAAAAGCACCGGCUAACUCUGUGCCAGCCGCCGCGGUAAUAC